UUUUGCACAACAGCGGCGGGCACUCGCUUAAACUUGUCACCAUCCAACACAACAGUGACGAGUACCUAGGCAUGAAACACAUCUCCCGCCCCCUCAAAGGCAAAGGGAUUAAUAUGUCACCAUCCAACACAACAGUGACGAGUACCUUGGCAUGAAACACAUCUCCCGCCCCCUCAAAGGUAAAGGGAUUAAUAUGUCACCAUCCAACACAACAGUGACGAGUACCUAGGCAUGAAACACAUCUCCCCGCCCCCUCAAAGGUAAAGGGAUUAAUAUGUCACCAUCCAACACAACAGUGACGAGUACCUUGCCAUGAAACACAUCUCCCCGCCCCCUCAAAGGCAAAGGGAUUAAUAUGUCACCAUCCAACACAACAGUGACGAGUACCUUGGCAUGAAACACAUCUCCCGCCCCCUCAAAGGUAAAGGGAUUAAUAUGUCACCAUCCAACACAACAGUGACGAGUACCUUGGCAUGAAACACAUCUCCCCGCCCCCUCAAAGGUAAAGGGAUUAAUAUGUCACCAUCCAACACAACAGUGACGAGUACCUAGGCAUGAAACACAUCUCCCGCCCCCUCAAAGGUAAAGGGAUUAAUAUGUCACCAUCCAACACAACAGUGACGAGUACCUUGGCAUGAAACACAUCUCCCCGCCCCCUCAAAGGUAAAGGGAUUAAUAUGUCACCAUCCAACACAACA